rnacentral:misc_RNA from 1 species
AAGUCGUAACAAGGUCUCCGUAGGUGAACCUGCGGAGGGAUCAUUACUGAGUUCUGGGUCUAACCGACCCGACCUCCAACCCUUUGUUCGUUCCGAUCUCCUGUUGCCUCGGGGGUCGCACCCGGUGACCUCCGGGUCUCGGGGCCCGCGUGAGCCUGAUACAAACUCUGCGUUAAUAUGUCGUCUGAGUAUUGAUUAAAUCAUAUCAAAA